AUGGCAGGGGCACGCGCGAGGAGGACGCAGGCGAAGAUGUGGUGGAGGUCGCCGGUGCGGGCGAAGGCAGCGGCAGCAGGGCACGACGUGAUGGUGCAACAGCUACUGUUGCUGCUAGCGACGAGGUCGAGGCAGGAUUCGUCCGCAGAGGGACGCGGGCAGGAGGAAGAAGAGGCCGACAUGGGUGGCGCAGAGGUCCUCGGGUUGUGGCGCGUGGCCGACUUGCAGGUCGCCGGAGCAGCGAGGCAAGGUCGGGCCGACAAGGCAGAGGUGGGGCAGCGGCUGAAGGGUCGCCGUCGUCGAUGGUUGCCGGCUGUUGGUGUUGCUCCGGCAAGGAGGUGGAGGCGCUAA
rnacentral:rRNA from 1 species